rnacentral:rRNA from 1 species
GACGAACGCUGGCGGCGUGCUUAACACAUGCAAGUCGAACGGAAAGGCCCUGCUUUUGUGGGGUGCUCGAGUGGCGAACGGGUGAGUAACACGUGAGUAACCUGCCCUUGACUUUGGGAUAACUUCAGGAAACUGGGGCUAAUAUCGGAUAGGAGCUCCUGCUGCAUGGUGGGGGUUGGAAAGUUUCGGCGGUUGGGGAUGGACUCGCGGCUUAUCAGCUUGUUGGUGGGGUAGUGGCUUACCAAGGCUUUGACGGGUAGCCGGCCUGAGAGGGUGGCCGGCCACAUUGGGCCUGCGAGACGGACCAGACUGCUACGGGAGGCAGCAGUGGAGAAUAUUGCACAGUGGGCGGAAGCGUGAUGCAGCAACGCCGCGAGCGGGAUGACGGCCUUCGGGUUGUAAACCGCUGUCGCCUGUGACGAAGCGUGAGUGACGGUAAUGGGUAAAGAAGCACCGGCUAACUACGUG